UGGGUACUUCCUCCGUCUAAUAAAACAUGUCUCAAUUUUGACUAAAUUUGAAUGCAUCUAUAACUAAGUCAUGUAUAGAUACAUUCAAAUUUUGACAAACUUGAGACAUCUUUUGUUGGACGGAGGGAGUACAAA
rfam:Brachypodium distachyon strain Bd21 chromosome 1, whole genome shotgun sequence.